GAUGAAGAACGUAGCGAAAUGCGAUACGUAAUGUGAAUUGCAGAAUUCCGUGAAUCAUCGAAUCUUUGAACGCACAUUGCGCCCCCUGGUAUUCCGGGGGGCAUGCCUGUCCGAGCGUCAUUGCUGCCCUCAAGCACGGCUUGUGUGUUGGGCCUCCGUCCUCCUCCCGGGGGACGGGCCCGAAAGGCAGCGGCGGCACCGCGUCCGGUCCUCGAGCGUAUGGGGCUUCGUCACCCGCUCUUGUAGGCCCGGCCGGCGCUUGCCGACACAUCAAUCUUUUUUCCAGGUUGACCUCGGAUCAGGUAGGGAUACCCGCUGAACUUAAGCAUAUCAAUAAGCGGAGGA
rnacentral:misc_RNA from 1 species